rnacentral:rRNA from 1 species
CCCCUAGAUGUUCUGGGCCGCACGCGCGCUACACUGAACAGUUCAACAAGUCUUAACCUUGGCCGAUAGGUCUGGGUAAUCUUUGAACGCUGUUCGUGAUUGGGAUAGACCUUUGCAAUUAUGGGUCUUCAACGAGGAAUUCCUAGUAAACGCAAGUCAUCAGCUUGCAUUGAUUACGUCCCUGCCCUUUGUACACACCGCCCGUCGCACCUACCGAUUGAAUGGUCCGGUGAAAUCUCGGGACGGCGGCUUGGUCGCUUGCGUCCGACUGCUGAAACUUGAUUAAACCAUAUCAUUGAGAGGAAGGUGAAGUCGUANCA